GCACGAAGUAUCUCCAGAAAUCAGAAAUGUCUGUGCUUUGGUCGCAUUUGAAGCGUGCUAAAUUAGAACAUAAUGCUACUUACUAGCAUCGUUAGGCGACACGACUACCCAUACUGUGGCCAUGGUUUUCAAAGUAGUACAAAU
rnacentral:snoRNA from 1 species